ACACACACACACACACACACUGACACUGUCACAAGGAAGAGGGAUGGCUUUCCCUCUAGCAACUCUAAACUCUCCAGAAUAUGGAGGAUGGCUGAGGGGCCAUGAAUUUGGGCAGGCACAAUGACAUCAUAGACAAUCAACCUAUAGCCUGGGCCCGGGAGAAGACCAUUCUUGCCUCAAAUCCACCAUGGGAUUCACUCUCCUCUGUGCUGUGGCCUUUUGUUUCCUGGGACAAGGCUUCAUGGAUGCAACAGUAACGCAAACCGAAAGAUAUCUGGUCAAAAGAAGAGGAGACAAAGUUGUGAUGGACUGUCAACAGAAUAUGGACCACAACUCAAUGUUCUGGUAUCGACAAGACCCAGCUCUGGGGCUACAGCUGCUCUAUUUCUCAGACAGUGUUGGCGAUAAACAGGAAGGAGAUGACCCUGAAGGGUACAGUGUCUCUAGAAAGAAGAAGGAGAAUUUCACCCUGAUCCUGGAGCCUGCCAGCACCAACCAGACAUCUGUGUACCUCUGUGCCAGCAGCUUAUCCACAGCACUGCACAGCCACAUCCUCUCUACACAAAAAGGGCAGAUGGAAGAGGGAAGUGACCCCAACUCAGGGCUGAGUCAUGCUGGCUCCUGUGGCACAUUUGUGCCAAGUAGAAGAAAGGCAGCUACUCAGGAGAAACCAGGCCCACAUCUUGGCAGGAAAGUAUGGGAUGUUUUCAAGCCCCACUCACCACCCCUUUCCAAGUGAGGGGCAUGACUCUGACGUUAACCUGAGCAACUGUGUUGUCCCCAAGCUAAAGUUAUGAUACUCUGCCCCAAACA